rnacentral:rRNA from 1 species
GAUGAACGCUGGCGGCGUGCCUAAUACAUGCAAGUCGAGCGGUAACACUUCGGGUGACGAGCGGCGGACGGCUGAGUAACGCGUAGGAACAUACCCCAAACUGAGGGAUAAGCACCGGAAACGGUGUCUAAUACCGCAUGUGGUCUUCGGAUUCAAGCUUCGGCGGUUUGGGAAUGGCCUGCGUCCGAUUAGCUUGUUGGUGAGGUAAAAGCUCACCAAGGCGACGAUCGGUAGCUGGUCUGAGAGGAUGAUCAGCCAGACUGGGACUGAGACACGGCCCAGACUCCUACGGGAGGCAGCAGCAGGGAAUUUUCCACAAUGGGCGAAAGCCUGAUGGAGCAACGCCGCGUGCAGGAUGAAGGCCUUCGGGUUGUAAACUGCUUUUAUCUGUGAAGAUUAUGACGGUAGCAGAUGAAUAAGGAUCGGCUAACUCCGUGCCAGCAGCCGCGGUAA